rnacentral:sRNA from 1 species
CUGCCUGUUGUGGAAACUAACCUCUCUGUUUAUCCACAGGCUAAGUAUGGCUCAGACAUUCAUAAUAUGGGCUUCCCACCCUGCCAUGUCAGUGAACUCAGAUUUGAAUGGGAGGGAAUUGCCUUUCUGGAAGAUGAGAGGGGAUUCAUUUUCCAUGCUAGCUCAUUCCUGGGGGGCU